rnacentral:rRNA from 1 species
AUUGAACGCUGGCGGAAUGCUUUACACAUGCAAGUCGAACGGCAGCACGGACUUCGGUCUGGUGGCGAGUGGCGAACGGGUGAGUAAUACAUCGGAACGUGCCCAAUCGUGGGGGAUAACGUAGCGAAAGCUACGCUAAUACCGCAUACGAUCUAAGGAUGAAAGCGGGGGAUCGCAAGACCUCGCGCGACUGGAGCGGCCGACGGCAGAUUAGGUAGUUGGUAGGGUAAAGGCCUACCAAGCCGACGAUCUGUAGCUGGUCUGAGAGGAUGAUCAGCCACACUGGGACUGAGACACGGCCCAGACUCCUACGGGAGGCAGCAGUGGGGAAUUUUGGACAAUGGACGCAAGUCUGAUCCAGCCAUUCCGCGUGCAGGAUGAAGGCCCUCGGGUUGUAAACUGCUUUUGUACAGAACGAAAAGGUCCUGGUUAAUACCUGGGGCUCAUGACGGUACUGUAAGAAUAAGCACCGGCUAACUACGUG